rnacentral:rRNA from 1 species
GACGAACGCUGGCGGCGUGCCUAAUACAUGCAAGUAGAACGCUGAAGGAGGAGCUUGCUUCUCUGGAUGAGUUGCGAACGGGUGAGUAACGCGUAGGUAACCUGCCUGGUAGCGGGGGAUAACUAUUGGAAACGAUAGCUAAUACCGCAUAAGAGUAGAUGUUGCAUGACAUUUGCUUAAAAGGUGCAAUUGCAUCACUACCAGAUGGACCUGCGUUGUAUUAGCUAGUUGGUGGGGUAACGGCUCACCAAGGCGACGAUACAUAGCCGACCUGAGAGGGUGAUCGGCCACACUGGGACUGAGACACGGCCCAGACUCCUACGGGAGGCAGCAGUAGGGAAUCUUCGGCAAUGGACGGAAGUCUGACCGAGCAACGCCGCGUGAGUGAAGAAGGGUUUCGGAUCGUAAAGCUCUGUUGUAAGAGAAGAACGAGUGUGAGAGUGGAAAGUUCACACUGUGACGUUAUCUUACCAGAAAGGGACGGCUAACUACGUG